rnacentral:misc_RNA from 1 species
CCGAGUUUACAACUCCCAAACCCAAUGUGAACGUUACCAAACUGUUGCCUCGGCGGGAUCUUCUGCCCCGGGUGCGUCGCAGCCCCGGACCAAGGCGCCCGCCGGAGGACCAACUCCAAAACUCUUUUUGUAUACCCCCUCGCGGGUUUUUUAUAUAUCUGAGCCAUCUCGGCGCCUCUCGUAGGCGUUUCGAAAAUGAAUCA